CCUACGGGUGGCAGCAGUGAGGAAUAUUGGUCAAUGGACGAGAGUCUGAACCAGCCAAGUAGCGUGAAGGAUGACUGCCCUAUGGGUUGUAAACUUCUUUUAUAAAGGAAUAAAACGAGGCACGUGUGCCUUUUUGCAUGUACUUUAUGAAUAAGGAUCGGCUAACUCCGUGCCAGCAGCCGCGGUAAUACGGAGGAUCCGAGCGUUAUCCGGAUUUAUUGGGUUUAAAGGGAGCGUAGAUGGGUUGUUAAGUUAGUUGUGAAAGGUUGCGGCUCAACCGUAAAAUUGCAAUUGAUACUGGCAGUCUUGAGUACAGUUGAGGUAGGCGGAAUGCGUGGUGUAGCGGUGAAAUGCUUAGAUAUCACGAAGAACCCCGAUUGCGAAGGCAGCUUACUAAACUGUGACUGACAUUGAUGCUCGAAAGUGUGGGUAUCAAACAGGAUUAGAUACCCGAGUAGUC
rnacentral:rRNA from 1 species